AGCGAACGCUGGCGGCAGGCUUAACACAUGCAAGUCGAGCGGGCCCUUCGGGGUCAGCGGCCGACGGGUGAGUAACGCGUGGGAACGUGCCCUUCGGUUCGGACUACCUCAGGGAAACUUGAGCUAAUACCGGAUACGCCCUUAUGGGGAAAGGCUUGCUGCCGAAGGAUCGGCCCGCGUCUGAUUAGCUAGUUGGUGAGGUUAUGGCUCACCAAGGCGACGAUCAGUAGCUGGUCUGAGAGGAUGAUCAGCCACACUGGGACUGAGACCCGGCCCAGACUCCUACGGGAGGCAGCAGUGGGGAAUAUUGGACAAUGGGGGCAACCCUGAUCCAGCCAUGCCGCGUGAGUGAUGACGGCCUUAGGGUUGUAAAGCUCUUUUCUCCGGGACGAUAAUGACGGUACCGGAGGAAUAAGCCCCGGCUAACUUCGUG
rnacentral:rRNA from 1 species